rnacentral:rRNA from 1 species
UACGAAGGGGGCUAGCGUUGCUCGGAAUUACUGGGCGUAAAGGGCGCGCAGGCGGCUCGACAAGUCAGAUGUGAAAGCCCCGGGCUCAACCUGGGAACGGCAUUUGGGACUGUCGGGCUAGAGUUCGGGAGAGGUGGGUGGAAUUCCCAGUGUAGAGGUGAAAUUCGUAGAUAUUGGGAAGAACACCGGUGGCGAAGGCGGCUCACUGGACCGAGACUGACGCUGAGGCGCGAAAGCGUGGGGAGCAAACAGG